UACGAAGGGGGCUAGCGUUGCUCGGAAUCACUGGGCGUAAAGGGUGCGUAGGCGGUUCUUUAAGUCAGGGGUGAAAUCCUGGAGCUCAACUCCAGAACUGCCUUUGAUACUGAAGAUCUUGAGUUCGGGAGAGGUGAGUGGAACUGCGAGUGUAGAGGUGAAAUUCAUAGAUAUUCGCAAGAACACCAGUGGCGAAGGCGGCUCACUGGCCCGAUACUGACGCUGAGGCACGAAAGCGUGGGGAGCAAACAGG
rnacentral:rRNA from 1 species